rnacentral:rRNA from 1 species
UACGUAGGGCGCAAGCGUUGUCCGGAAUUAUUGGGCGUAAAGAGCUCGUAGGCGGUUUGUCGCGUCUGGUGUGAAAACUCGAGGCUCAACCUCGAGCUUGCAUCGGGUACGGGCAGACUAGAGUGCGGUAGGGGAGACUGGAAUUCCUGGUGUAGCGGUGGAAUGCGCAGAUAUCAGGAGGAACACCGAUGGCGAAGGUAGGUCUCUGGGCCGCAACUGACGCUGAGGAGCGAAAGCAUGGGGAGCGAACAGG